AUACGCUCUUUCUUGUCAGUCUUGUUACGAGUUCCUUGAAGAUCACACCUGGCUCUUGUACCUGUUUCCAACUUAUAUUUGUUUAAUUCGCGGUUCAAAUCGCACUUAUUCUUCUUUACGGAUAGCGUGUUAAAUUUAGGAGUUCAUAUUAGUUGAGGAAUUCUGCAAAAAAAUCAAAGCACGUUUUAAAUUUCAACAAUGGAAACCUCCCGAAUUGGCUCCAUUUGUGUACUCCUCUCCGUUUUGGUGACCGUGGUGUGGACUUACCCAACCACGGUUCCAGCCACCCCGGAGGUCUGUUCGGCAAUGACCCCUGGUCAUGGGCCCUCUCCACAAAAGGGAAAGUCUCCCUUCACCCUCGAGGUCUCAACCACUGCCGUCAAGGGAGGAAAUAACGUGCAAGUUACGCUCGAUGGAAAUGGUCACACUUUCAAAGGAUUCUAUAUCCAAGCUAGAGAUACCAAUGGAGCCCGCAUUGGGACCUUUAUUCCUGACGAUGGCAUCGUGAAAGUUCAUGGAUGUGGAGGAAUCAAAAACAAUGCUGCUCACCACAGCGGAAAAGAUGAUAAAAGCAGUGUUCUUGUUCACUGGAAAGCACCCAGAGAGUACAAUGGCCAAGUUAUUUUCCUAGCCACGUUUGUUGAAGAAUUUGAAAGUUUCUGGACCAAUGUAAAAUCUGAACCAGUUACUAUUAGUGCUUAACUAAUCUCGCACAGCACAUCGCAAAAAUAUAUACUCAUCGUAGGUUAGCCGCAAUUCGCACCUUUAUUGAUUCCCGAAAAGAAAGAGCGACCCCCAAAGCGACACAAGAAAGUAGAAUUUUAAACUACAAUCCAUACUCCCCAUUUUCCCCAUUGAAUAAUCAAGAACUACACUCGAAUGAAUUUUUAAAGCCUAUUUCACAUCCAGACGGAUUACAUGAAACCCAAAGUUUUGACCAACCCAAAUUUUCCAAAAAAGCUUCCAAAAGAAUCCGCAAAAGCUUCUAUGUCCCAAAUCCACAGAUCAAAUCCAUCGAUGGUAACAUUAUCGAAGAUUGUAGAUUUCACAUUCAUCGUCAUCAUCAAGUAUCCACCAUCCCUUCUGCUGGAAUGGGUGUACUACUACACCACGGCGUCUCCAAAAUCCCAGAUUUUUCGUACGCCACAAGAUACGCAUACAUGAGGGGACAGCCUCCGGUUUCGGUUUUAUAUUCACCCGUGGUCACAACUCAAAAUAUUCGAAAUGUACACCCAACACCGGGACCAGUUCAGGGUGGAUUCCACUACUUGGACUCAACAUACGAGCAUCGGCCACCCAAUGGUCACCAUCAUGGGAUAGUAGUACCCACCAGAAAAGUGAAAUUUUACGACGACUCCCCAGUCUCACAACAAUCUCGUCCCAAUUAUUACCCGUCUUCUGAGAUACUAAGUUCAUACAAUGGUCAUCGGAGACCGUCUGCCACAGAUUUAAGUCCUGGUCACAGCCGUAAUCCAAAUUAUGUUCAACCCAAGCCUGUCUAUUCGGGACUAAAUGGUGGUUGGUCUCAGCCUUCGCACUCAUCAUCAGGAACCCAGUACGGUGUUAUAGGCAAUGAGUAUGGCGUCAUUGACACUGCAAUUGUCAUUCCAAAAAACAUGGAGGCAUAUGACCUUCCUAAAUAUGGCUACUUGGUUUACAAUCCAAAACUGGGUCCUCCCUUCUACAUUAUCCCAGCCGAGACUGAGUCAUUUGAAAAUGCGCAUUUUGGAUUAGGUCGAAGUAGUCGUAAAAAACAAUAAGCCAUGAAAUUCGUUCGUAUUAUAUCCAUGUAGUUGUAUACUUUCCUGCUUUGCUUUAAAAUGUCGCUCUUUUAUUCAUACGUAUCCUCUCCUUAAUCUAAUACGCACAAUUAUUUCAAAAUCUGUAUUAUCUGUAUUUGGUGGUGAUAUAUUUCUUAAAAUUGUUUUUAAAUCUUUAGGUCGAAUUGAUAGAAAUUAGUAGAAUAGUUUUUUUAGUAGAAAAUGUGAUAACCAAGUGCCUUUUACUAUAAAAUAAGCCAUAUAUACUUUCUUAAUUCGUCUUGGUUGAAUAUAUAUAUGGACCUAUAUCUAUGCAUUCAGUUCAUGCCUUAAAUGUGGUCAUAUCAAUUGAUUACUUUCAUCAUUGCAGUAUAUUUAUGGUGUUCAUGCAUAUUGUUUUUGAAAACUUCAAACAUUAAUUAACACAUAAUGCUCCAAGGUCCCUGAGAAUCCAAACAAUCAAAUUCAAUCGGUUACACGGAACAAUGAUAAUGUAAAUAACUUUCCUUUCUAUUACGAUCUUUCCUUUGUGGAUGUUCAACUUUUGAGUUUCUAUGUAGCAAACCGUGUUCUUAUGCACUGUGUAUCUGCUGUAGAACAUUAAUUUGUUCAUAGCUUUAGCCUCUCCGAAUUCCAUCAAGUAAAAAAAUGAGUAUCCACAUUGUCUGGGUAGGAGUCGUUUUGGUUUACAUUUUAAGGAACACGGAGAGCUUUCCCAACGGCGCCCCGAUCGACUCGUGCUACAAUUUCCGCCCAGGUCACGGCGGUGUCGCGGUUGACGGCUCGGAGAAAAACGACAGCAAAACGGUCUUCUCGCUUUCAGCUACCUCGGAGUCCGGCGCUUUCGACGUGGUGCUAAAAGCCGUGCAUGGGGAUCGACCAUUCAAGGGGUUCCUUAUCAAAGCAAUACCUGACAAAUACUCCCCUUCGAAGUGGGCAAAUCCGAAAAUUCCAAUAGGAAAAUGGAAGAUAAAUCGGGAUGCCAGGAGGCUGGAUUGCUUCAGGGGAGAGAGUAACGUCGUGACUCAUAUUGACAACGACCCCAAGCUAGAAGCUAAUUUUAUCUGGGUUCCUCCAAAAUAUCUCAAAGGCAAAACAGGGAAUGUGACCUUUGUAGCAACAGUGGUUGAACAUUUUGCACAAUACUGGACUGGCGUGGCGACUGACCUGAUGAACGUUCCGUAAAAGAUUAUAAAAGCGAUGCAAUUAUGAAAAAUGUAGUAAAAAUAAGAGGUCUUUUUGUGUUA